GACGAACGCUGGCGGCACGCCUAACACAUGCAAGUCGAACGAAGUAAAAGAGCUUGCUCUUUUACUGAGUGGCGGACGGGUGAGUAACGCGUGAGUAACCUGCCUUUUUGAGGGGGAUAACGUUUGGAAACGAACGCUAAUACCGCAUAAUGUACAGAGAUGGCAUCAUCAUUGUACCAAAGGAGUAAUCCGCAAAAAGAUGGACUCGCGUCCAAUUAGCUAGUUGGUGAGGUAAAGGCCCACCAAGGCUUCGAUUGGUAGCCGGACUGAGAGGUUGAACGGCCACAUUGGGACUGAGACACGGCCCAGACACCUACGGGAGGCAG
rnacentral:rRNA from 1 species